rnacentral:rRNA from 1 species
GAUGAACGCUAGCGGGAGGCUUAACACAUGCAAGUCGAGGGGUAGGGAAGCAAUUCCUGAGACCGGCGGACGGGUGCGUAACGCGUAUGCAACCUGCCUUAUACAGGGGGAUAGCCCAUGGAAACGUGGAUUAACACCCCAUAGGAUUACGGGAUCGCAUGAUUUUGUGAUUAAAACUGAGGUGGUAUAAGAUGGGCAUGCGUCUGAUUAGGUAUUUGGUAGGGUAAUGGCCUACCAAGCCGACGAUCAGUAGGGGUUCUGAGAGGAUUACCCCCCACACUGGUACUGAGACACGGACCAGACUCCUACGGGAGGCAGCAGUGAGGAAUAUUGGUCAAUGGCCGGAAGGCUGAACCAGCCAUCCCGCGUGCAGGAUGACGGCCCUAUGGGUUGUAAACUGCUUUUGUACCUGAAGAAUAGGCCCAACGAGUUGGGAUUUGCCGGUAAGGUAUGAAUAAGCAUCGGCUAACUCCGUGCCAGCAGCCGCGGUAAUAC